GGUGGCCAGGACGCGCGCGGCAGUCGAUCAACGAAUACUGUCCGCGGCGCACCCAGCCACC
rfam:Pseudomonas cremoricolorata strain ND07, complete genome.